GGAAAAGGCGCCGAAUCUAGGAACGCGCCGAAUCCAAGAACGUGCAUUUUCGCACACCACCUCUUUUCCUUCGAUUGCUGCAUUUUCCAGGAACGCGCCGAAUCCACCCUUCAUCUUCUUAGGAAAAAGAAAAGGGACACCCUCCAUCUCGAGUUGAAUUAUUCCAAGCUUGCUUUACUCAUGCCAAUGGAAGUCCUUCAAGUAUUAUUGUAGCAGAAAGAUUGAUUGGAUGUUCUGUUUUGAUCAAAAGUUUAUUUGAUUCAACGAAAAUUGUGGCAAAAGGAGUGCUCCAUAGCAUGGAUCCAAAUACUAUAGUAGGGAGAUAAGAACUAGGACCAAAUUGGUGUGAAGUAAGAAUACAAGUUGUCCUAGAACCAUAAGAUAGUUUAAUUAGACCUUAUGAUCUUUUACAGAAGUUUAAGGAUACACUUGGAGGAAUGAUAUCUUGGCCUUAUCAUCUGUUAACAGUAAACAAAGAUUACUAUUAGGUGGAUAUGGAAUGAUACUUUACAUUUUC